ACAGUGAAUAAAGAACUGAUGAGUCUGAAACGGGAAGUGGCAGAAGUGGCAAGAAAACAACACUGCUUUGUUUGUUUAGUUUUGUCGCCCACAAGAAAGCGUGUUAAAAGAAGACGAUUUUCAAGUUAAUUUAAUUAUUCUUGUUACCCAUUUUUCUACAUGAAGCAGUUUAGGGAAAAUCCGUUUGAUGCUGACGCGACUACAACAGUAGCUCUCACAUUAGUUGAAAGACUGGCCGCGGAACGCUAAAGCUAACAUUAGCUACUGUUUGUAAAGUGAACACUAACAAAUGUUUCAGAUAGUUGGCUGCUGACCUAGGUGGCUAAAUAAAGCUUUUUUAAAACCAUCGGAACAACUGACGCACCACCGACCAUCUGUAAGGAUGGUGUGUGAGCUGCUUCUCUCCUCAGUGUGGUUCCUGUUUGUCAUCUUCUGGAUGGAGACGAUAAGCGUGUGGCUCUUCCUUUGCUUCUUCUACCAGGACAGAGCCUUUUAUCACUGGGGAGAUGGGGUGUUUGCAGACGACCCAGGACAAAUGCUGUACAUGUUAACCAGGGUUGAUCAUUCUGGGGAGAUGCAGACAUAAGGUUGGACGGAUGGGAAGAAAAUAUCUCCUGUCAGGAAAGAAGAAUAGAGAGUGGGGCCUGUUCGUGUUUUUCUUUUAAAAUGCUUAUUCGGUUUUCCAAGUCCUUCUCCGUGGAGCAGCAUGAAGCCCUCUGCACUGGAGAUAAGCAGUUCUAGAGGAUGGGCCCUUCUGUUAGACUAAUGGGUGCGGUGGCCAUUCCCUGAAGGAGAGCAGAAAGGCUUCACAUAAAUACGGACUUUCCACACGGAGUUGGACACAAUGCUACACUACAUUAAACCAGCCUACACUCCCCGCCCUUUUCCUGUAUGGCACGAGGGUUACAUACACUCUAAUGAUAUAUAUACCUGUGUAUAUAGAUGUUGAAUUUGAAUGUGUAAACAAAGAGAAUGCUGUCUUUGCUCAGACUGACAUGGGGAGUCCUGAUGUCUAAAAUGGAAUUUAGUGUGACAAAACUCUCAGUCUCCGGCUGAGGUAAUUUUUCAGUGACUCUGUUUAUAAUUUGACUGGUGACUUAGUUAAAUUUUCAGAGAUUUUCUUCCUUUUUUACCUUGUAGAGAUUAAUUUGUAUAUCACUCACAGUGAAGGCUGUUUUGUUGUUAAGCAAUAAAGUUGAUAUUUACUUGGUUCAUAUUCAA